UGAAAAUGGAUGGCGCUCAAGCGUGUUACCCAUACCUCGCCGUCAGCGUAAAAGUGAUGCGCUGACGAGUAGGCAGGCGUGGAGGUCCGUGACGAAGCCUUGGGAGUGAUCCCGGGUCGAACGGCCUCUAGUGCAGAUCUUGGUGGUAGUAGCAUAUAUUCAAAUGAGAACUUUGAAGAAUGACGUGGGGAAAGGUUCCAU
rnacentral:rRNA from 15 species